rnacentral:siRNA from 1 species
AUCUAGUUGGACUGCCACGUAGGA